CCGGUGCUGCAUGGCUGUCGUCAGCUCGUGUUGUGAAAUGUUGGGUUAAGUCCCGCAACGAGCGCAACCCUUAUCCUUUGUUGCCAGCGAUUCGGUCGGGAACUCAAAGGAAACUGCCGGUGAUAAACCGGAGGAAGGGGGGGAUGACGUCAAGUCAUCAUGGCCCUUACGAGUAGGGCUACACACGUGCUACAAUGGCGCAUACAAAGAGAAGCGACCUCGCGAGAGCAAGCGGACCUCACAAAGUGCGUCGUAGUCCGGAUCGGAGUCUGCAACUCGACUCCGUGAAGUCGGAAUCGC
rnacentral:rRNA from 1 species